UACGUAGGUGGCAAGCGUUGUUCGGAAUUAUUGGGCGUAAAGGGCGCGUAGGCGGUUUGCUAAGUCAGUUGUGAAAUCCCGGGGCUCAACCUCGGAACUGCCCUUGAAACUGCAGUGCUAGAAUCUUGGAGAGGCGAGUGGAAUUCCGAGUGUAGAGGUGAAAAUUCGUAGAUAUUCGGAAGAACACCAGUGGCGAAGGCGACUCGCUGGACAAGUAUUGACGCUGAGGUGCGAAAAGCGUGGGGAGCAAACAGG
rnacentral:rRNA from 1 species